rnacentral:rRNA from 1 species
CCAUAACAUACAAUCAAAUUACGAAUUGUUCGCCAAACAACUACGAGUAAUACUUAAAACUUAAAAGACUUGACGGUACUUCACCCCGACCUAGAGGAGCCUGUCUAUUAACCGACAAUCCACGAUUAACCCAACCACUUCUUGCCUAACAGUCUAUAUACCGCCGUCGCCAGCUUACCUUGUAAAAGAAAUAAAGUGAGCUAAACAGUAACACACUAAAACGACAGGUCGAGGUGUAACUUAUGAAGCGGGCCAAGAUGGGCUACAUUCUCCAACAGAGAAUACGAACAACACUAUGAAAUUAAUGUUUGAAGGCGGAUUUAGCAGUAAGAUGAGAACAAAACACUCAACUGAACACAACGCAAUGAAGUGCGCACACACCGCCCGUCAUCCCUGCCACCAC